rnacentral:rRNA from 1 species
GAUGAACGCUAGCGGCAGGCCUAACACAUGCAAGUCGAGGGAGAGGCUAUCUUCGAGUAACCAAAACCGGCGCACGGGUGCGUAACGCGUAUACAAUCUGCCUUUCACAUAGGGAUAGCCCGAAGAAAUUUGGAUUAAUACCUAAUGGUAUAUAAGAGCGGCAUCGUUUUUAUAUUAAAGCUACGGUGGUGAAAGAUGAGUAUGCGUUCUAUUAGCUAGUUGGAGAGGUAACGGCUCCCCAAGGCGACGAUAGAUAGGGGUUCUGAGAGGGAUGUCCCCCACACUGGUACUGAGAUACGGACCAGACUCCUACGGGAGGCAGCAGUGAGGAAUAUUGGACAAUGGUCGGAAGACUGAUCCAGCCAUGCCGCGUGCAGGAUGAAGGUCCUAUGGAUUGUAAACUGCUUUUGUAAGGGAAGAAUAAGGAGUACGUGUACUUUGAUGACGGUACCUUACGAAUAAGCAUCGGCUAACUCCGUGCCAGCAGCCGCGGUAAUACGGAGGAUGCGAGCGUUAUCCGGAAUCAUUGGGUUUAAAGGGUCCGUAGGCGGGCUGAUAAGUCAGAGGUGAAAGCGCUUAGCUCAACUAAGCAACUGCCUUUGAAACUGUCAGUCUUGAAUGAUUGUGAAGUAGUUGGGAAUGUGUAGUGUAGCGGUGAAAUGCUUAGAUAUUACACAGAACACCGAUAGCGAAGGUAUAUUACUAACAUUUAUUGACGCUGAUGGACGAAAGCGUGGGGAGCGAACAGG